rnacentral:rRNA from 1 species
GAUGAACGCUGGCGGCGUGCCUAAUACAUGCAAGUCGAACGCUGGAAAUCUAGCUUGCUAGAUUGAAGGAGUGGCGAACGGGUGAGUAAUACAUAAGCAACCUACCCACGAAGACUGGGAUAAUCUCUGGAAACGGGGACUAAUACCGGAUAGGUAAUCGGAAGGCAUCUUCUGAUUAUUAAAGGUUAAAAACACUGGUGGAUGGGCUUAUGGCGCAUUAGUUAGUUGGUGAGGUAACGGCCCACCAAGACGAUGAUGCGUAGCCGGCCUGAGAGGGUGAACGGCCAAAUUGGGACGGAGACACGGCCAAGACUCCUACGGGAGGAAGCAGUAGGGAAGUUUCGGCAAUGGGGGAAACCCUGACCGAGCAACGCCGCGUGAGUGAUGACGGCCUUCGGGGUGUAAAGCUCUGUUGUAAGGGAAGAACGGUAGAUAGAGAAUAUCUAAAUGACGGUACCUUACCAGAAAGCCACGGCUAACUACGUG